GAAAUACUCCCUCCGUCCCGAAAAAAGUGACGUUGAUUUGUAUAAGAAUCUAUACAAAUCCACGUCACUUAUUUUGGGACGGAGGGAGUAUAUA
rfam:Brachypodium distachyon strain Bd21 chromosome 2, whole genome shotgun sequence.